rnacentral:rRNA from 1 species
UACGGAGGGAGCUAGCGUUGUUCGGAAUUACUGGGCGUAAAGCGCACGUAGGCGGCUUUGUAAGUUAGAGGUGAAAGCCUGGGGCUCAACCCCAGAAUUGCCUUUAAGACUGCAUCGCUUGAAUCCAGGAGAGGUGAGUGGAAUUCCGAGUGUAGAGGUGAAAUUCGUAGAUAUUCGGAAGAACACCAGUGGCGAAGGCGGCUCACUGGACUGGUAUUGACGCUGAGACGCGAAAGCGUGGGGAGCAAACAGG